CGAACGCUGGCGGCAGGCCUAACACAUGCAAGUCGAACGUGAAGCAAGACUUCGGUUUUGUGGAAAGUGGCGCACGGGUGAGUAACGCGUGGGAACCUACCCCGGGGUAGGGAAUAACCGCUGGAAACGGCGGCUAAUACCCUAUGUGUCCUAAGGGAGAAAGAUUUAUCGCCCUGGGAUGGGCCCGCGUUAGAUUAGGUAGUUGGUGGGGUAAAGGCCUACCAAGCCUGCGAUCUAUAGCUGGUCUGAGAGGAUGAUCAGCCACACUGGGACUGAGACACGGCCCAGACUCCUACGGGAGGCAGCAGUGGGGAAUAUUGGACAAUGGGGGCAACCCUGAUCCAGCCAUGCCGCGUGAGUGAAGAAGGCCUUAGGGUUGUAAAGCUCUUUCAACGGUGAAGAUGAUGACGGUAGCCGUAGAAGAAGCCCCGGCUAACUUCGUGCCAGCAGCCGCGGUAAU
rnacentral:rRNA from 1 species